rnacentral:tRNA from 1 species
CGGAUGUAGCCAAGUGACCAGGGCAGUAA